GGAAAGUUAGUCUAACACAAGACCCUUGAUUUCGGCUCAAAAAACCGUGGCUGGUACCCAUGACUUUCCU
rnacentral:tRNA from 1 species